rnacentral:lncRNA from 1 species
UGAGCAUCCGGUGAUGAGCAAUUGAAAACAACACACAAAUGCAAAUUCCAAAUUUGAACCACAACCUUCAGUGAUCAAACACUAUGGAAUUCAAAUCAUAAGCAAAUACAAAGAGGAUGGGUCAGCAAGAUGUUUCAAAGAAUGUCUUUUCCCAUGAGCUAUGGAGAUUUUUUUAUGAGCACCUCAUUAUGAAGAAGCAUAAGUUGCAACUUCCUACUGAUUAUUAGAGAAGGGCAGGGAAGGGCAGAGCUGUUCUUCUCUGUUCAAUGAUCCAAGCAACCAGAGCAAUAUCCAUUGUAGGCAAAUUCAAGGUAGCGGCUAAGCACAAAGCGUCUCUUACAGAGGCUGCCCUCACUCUGACUCCAUCAUUGAUAUCUUUAACUGCAGCAGAAGGAAUUCAUUUCACAGAAGCCACCACUUUGGAAAUGAAGAUGUAUGUUUGCACAGAUUCCAGAUGGAGACAGCCCCUGCCCUGGAGAGCAUUUGGUGUGAAUUUACAUCUUGAAUUGAGCUCCAUGUAAUUGUAGUCCUGCAUUCAGCUGCGAAUCCUGAAAACAACAGGCUUCUGUGAAGGAAGCUGCCCACAGGGAGCUUCAGCUACCUCUUGUCUCCUUUUAUUGCCUGCCUGCUAAACUCCUUGGGCAGGCACUACCUUUUUCAUAAAUAUAAUGCUUAGCACUAUGGGGCCUGAUCCCUCAUUGGUACUGUUAGCACUGUCAUUGUACAGAGAAAAUACAUUGUUUCAAUGUUUUUAGUUCCUCCCUUCCGGGCAUCAGGAAAGUGAACUUUCAGGAAGUAAAAUGAACAAAC